rnacentral:rRNA from 1 species
GCAGCCGCGGUAAUACGGGGGGUGCAAGCGUUGUCCGGAAUCAUUGGGCGUAAAGCGUUCGUAGGCGGCAAGGUAAGUCAGAUGUUAAAGCCCGGGGCUCAACUCCGGUUCGGCAUUUGAUACUACCUAGCUAGAAUGCGGUAGAGGUAAAGGGAAUUCCUGGUGUAGCGGUGAAAUGCGUAGAUAUCAGGAGGAACAUCGGUGGCGAAAGCGCUUUACUGGGCCGUUAUUGACGCUGAGGAACGAAAGCCAGGGGAGCAAAUGGGAUUAGAUACCCC